rnacentral:rRNA from 1 species
AUUGAACGCUGGCGGCAGGCCUAACACAUGCAAGUCGAACGAGUGGCGGACGGGUGAGUAAUGUCUGGGAAAAUGCCCGAUGGAGGGGGAUAACUACUGGAAACGGUAGCUAAUACCGCAUACCAUCGGAUGUGCCCAGAUGGGAUUAGCUAGUAGGUGGGGUAACGGAUCACCUAGGCGACGAUCCCUAGCUGGUCUGAGAGGAUGACCAGACACACUGGACCUGAGACACGGUCCAGACUCCUACGGGAGGCCGCAUUGGGGAAUAUUGCACCAUGGGCGCAAUCCUGAUGCAGCCAUGCCGCGUGUAUGGAGAAGGCCUUCGGGUUGUAAAGUACUUUCAGCGAGGAGGCGUUACUCGCAGAAUAAGCACCGGAUAACUCCGUGCCAGCAGCCGCGGUAAUAC